CGGGCCCCCCACCGCCCGCCCUGGCUCUCCCCCCUCGCUCCCCCGACGGUCGGCUCCGGCGGAGAGAAACGGGAGCCACAGUGCCUCCCCCCCCUGCACUUUUUUUUGUUGUUGUUGUUGCUUUCCCACGCUGGCUGAAUGUGACUUGACCCCAUUUCAAAAAAGUUUGACAUAGUGCUUCAACAUUUCCGCAUUCCUCCGCGACUACAAAGGCUGCAGCCGCCUCCUUCUGCUUUCUGUCUCUGCUCUCUGUCUUCACACUCAAUGAAAUCCUUCACGUGCCUCUCCCGAAGCCUGCCAAGCACCGCAAGGGUCGCCACCAGCGCAGCGACAAGAGGCCGCACUGGGGACCACGACUCCUGCGUGUGCGCACACACGCAGAUGCGCCCACGUGCACACUGACGGGCGCGCUGCGGGGUCCGGAGCUGCUCACCGCGGGGUGUGCAUUUUUAACUUCCAUAUUUUAAAUUAUAAAAAUAAACUGGGAAACUAAAGCAAAUGUGCAUCCUUGCGGGACUCCAAGCCUGGGCACUGGCCGCCUGCGUGCACUCCUCUAAGUGUGCAUAACACGCCCGCAGGGGUUGCCAGCAGGAAGCCUGCGUUAACUUUAUCUCGUGGUGGGGAAGGUGGAGCCCACGCCCACACCUAGCAAGCUGGAGAGGGAGGUUUCGUGAGGAAAUAAAUAUGGGGCACGGAAACACAGUCUUCCGCAUGGAGUCCCCAGAGGCAGUGCAUUUUAAACCCUAAAUGUGGAUUACUGAGUGUCCGAGUGGAGUUUAAAUUCCGUUUGAAGAAACUGGAUAAGGAGUGUUUGUGUGGGUGUUUGUGCGCACGGCUAUAUGGGAGCAGGCACAGGAUCUCAGUGUUGGGGGUGUCCCUAGUGUGCGAUGUCCUCCUCUCGCCACAUUAGGAGAACUCCUUUAGCUCCCCCAAACUGGCCCCCGUAACUACCCUGCCUCGGUUCGUAAGGGGUUAACCAAAACCGAUUCCGAGGACAGACAACCCGCCCCCACAGUCACCCCCACCCACACUCGCUUCCGACCCUGGCCAAGCCCCCAAAUCUUCCCCGGGGACCCCCCACCCCGCAGCCCACCCACCGGAGCGCACAGCUCCUCACCUGAAGGGCCGGGCCACGUCCGGCCUCCCGAAGAGGCUGCGUGCGUCAGGCGGACCACCGCACGUGUCCUCGGCGGCGCGGAGCAGCCCUGCAAGCUAUUUGGCAUAUGAAGGUCUUGACCUGAGAAAACCAUCUUGGAUAACCGUGGCAAGGAGAAGGAAAAAUGCAACACCUAGGAGAUUUCAGUAAACAGUAGAAUCAUGCCAACCUAAUCUGUGUUAAAAUGCUUGGAAUGUGGGAGCCGCUGAUGAUGCCUGUUGUCUGUGUGUCUGACUGAAUCCUUUCUUUACUCAGAGCAGCAAAGCAAAGCCUGGGAACCAGGCCAAAUGCCUGCCACUUACCUUAAAUUGAUCAGCCACUUUGAGAUUAAAACUCCUGAAAGCUGCCACACCGUGAAAACAAGGCCCCCUUCACAUUAAAGGCAAAUUGCGACUUUGAGUUUGCUGUGAUCUUUUUUCCAUUUUAUCCAGUUUUUCACAGUGCACACUUUUUUUUUCCUUUCCAUUUAUGCUCCAAUGUAGAAGCCAAUAGUUACAGCAUCUUGGCCAAGCAUUCAUUAAGGUUUAUAAGACCAAAAUUUAUGGUUAUUUAGGAGUUGGCACAAAGACAGACUGUUGCUGGAAAAAGAAAAAGAAAUACAGGUGGGAAAUAUAAGCCUCAACAAAGGCCCAUACUAUACAGUAGUGUGCUGGGCUCACAGGAGUGUCUGCAAGGAAAAUACUGUAUCGUAUUUAAAACCAGCUACUCCUCUGUUCUGAAUCCUUCCCAUUUUAUGGCUCUGUAGGUGAUUGAAACAAGUAUACUGGUCAUUCCAAGAGACUUUUCUGACUUUAUAAGUGCUACCAUUUCCGGGAGCGGGCAGUCGUAGAGAUAAACUGAUGUGUGUUAAUCUGGGUGAUAAUCUGUCACUUGGCUAACAGAUGAGGUGAAUUGAAAAAAAUAUAUAUAUACAUAUAUAUAUAUAUAUAAUGGGUCAGAAUAAGGGCUCUCCCAUGAAGAGAAGAGUCAUGUUAUCCUCCUCAGUAGACCUUACAUAAUGGCAGGGCCUGUGUUCCCAAAAAAUGUAGGGUGUGGGCAAAACACACCCUUAGUCUUUGAAUUCGGGUAGUAAUGUGGAAUUCUGGCACAGGCUGGAAGUCUAUAUUCUCCCUCAGGAAAUAUUAUUAAUGAUUCUUUUUUUUUUAAUACUCUCUGAUUUCCUAGACUAGGGGAAUAAGAAGGCUCCUUGUCCUGUCAUUUGCAAUAUUUGUGAAGCAAUCAUUUUAAGAAUAUAUUUUAGUUUACUCGUUGUCCAGGAGUACUGCAUGUAAUGAAAAAACAGCUUCAGUGUUUCAUGAUGUAAACUCUUCUCAAAAUAUCACUUGUUUUAGCUAUGCCAGUAGCUCACUGUAUGAUUUAGGAAAGUUAAUUUAAAUGUCCAGCCAUCUCCUAUUAUCAAAUAGGACUGUUUUACCAGCAACGAUAAUAAUCAUCAUCUAUAUUCUACCAAGUGCACUGUGAGAAGGUAUUUGCUUCCACUUCUCUGACCUUGCACACACUAGAAUCUUUUCACCCUUUCUCUCCAUGAAAUUAAGUUCAUCUUUUUUAUUAACUUUGUUUUGGAAAUCUUCCACCUAGUUCUUUUUAUCGGUAUCAGCUCAACAUGGAAAUACAUGCAGUGUUAUGUAAACUUGCAUUUGUUCAUAUGUUGCUCUGCAAAGGACCUAUUUAUUUGUGCAUAUAUAUGAAUACUUUCCCCUAACUAUACACACUUUCAGCUCCCCAAGGGCGGGGGCAUGACCUUCUUGAUAUCUCUCCACCAACAAAUUGCUCAUUGAAUUUGGAAAAUUGAGUAUGCACACAAUCUUUUGCAUCAUUUCAUAAAAUGCUAAAUACAACUUUGGCUGCAUGAGCACACCAUGUGAUCAUCAUUUGCAGAUAAUACUGAUUAUUUCUGAGCAUGGGUGAGCCUGUUCGUUAAGUAGUGAUUAGAAGUCUCUUCCCUUGUUUCUCCAACUGCCAGAAAGCCAGAACCAUCAUAAAAGGAAGAGAAAAAGCUAUGAUUCAGUCUGGUGCUGAUCUCUGUCUCUGCAUCUUUUUAACCAGUUUGCCUUACAACUUUGUUGUUUAAAUUUUCUAUCAUACAUAAUAGACUUUUAUCUUGACUACCGAUUUUAUCAUAGCUUCCAGGUCUUCAUACUUCCGUGUAUUUCCUAUUAAUUCUGAUUCUUCCAUGUUUCAUCGAUUAUCAGUAUUUAUGGAGGGCCUCAUUUUUGCUCAGCAUUAGGCCAAGGGUAAUUGAAAAAUCCCUAAAUAAUGAGAAGUAGGUGAUAAGAGAAUACAAACAAGUGAACAACUGCCUGCAGUGAUUUGCUUUGCAUUUUGUUGCAUAGGGUGACAAUCUGAGGACAAUUCAAAAGAAUGUACAGUAGAGUCAUAGUUCAGGAUGAACAGCCAAUAUGGUGGUUCAGAGAGUGUGCCCUGAAGCAAUCACAGAAUAUAUAAGACUUCAGCAGGGCCCAGAGGGAUGAUAGAGAAAGGAGGGAAGUCUCUCCAAGAGAGGGGAAUGGCAUAAACAAAGGCACAGAGGUGGGAUUGAAUUUGGUGAACUCACAAAUCAGCCAAGACAUGCUUUGGUGGGGAGUUGAGAGUGUGGCUAAGAGUGUGUUGGGAGGGGCUGCCCGGUGGUGCAGCGGUUAAGUGCACAAGUUCCGCUUUGGCAGCCGGGGUCUGCUGGUUCAGAUCCCAGGUGUGGAUGUGGCACCACUUGGCAAGCCAUGCUGUGGUAGGUGUCCCAUAUAUAAAGUAGAGGAAGAUGGGCAUGGAUGUUAGCUCAGGGUCAGUCUUCCUCAGCAAAAAGAGGAGGAUAGGCAGCAGAUGUUAGCUCAGGGCUAAUCUUCCUAAAAAAUAAAAAAGAGUGUAUUGGGAAAUAGGACUGAGAG
rnacentral:lncRNA from 1 species